rnacentral:rRNA from 1 species
GAUGAACGCUGGCGGCGUGCCUAAUACAUGCAAGUCGAGCGAACAGACGAGGAGCUUGCUUCUCUGAUGUUAGCGGCGGACGGGUGAGUAACACGUGGAUAACCUACCUAUAAGACUGGGAUAACUUCGGGAAACCGGAGCUAAUACCGGAUAAUAUUUUGAACCGCAUGGUUCAUUAGUGAAAGACGGUUUUGCUGUCACUUAUAGAUGGAUCCGCGCUGCAUUAGCUAGUUGGUAAGGUAACGGCUUACCAAGGCAACGAUGCAUAGCCGACCUGAGAGGGUGAUCGGCCACACUGGAACUGAGACACGGUCCAGACUCCUACGGGAGGCAGCAGUAGGGAAUCUUCCGCAAUGGGCGAAAGCCUGACGGAGCAACGCCGCGUGAGUGAUGAAGGUCUUCGGAUCGUAAAACUCUGUUAUUAGGGAAGAACAAAUGUGUAAGUAACUGUGCACAUCUUGACGGUACCUAAUCAGAAAGCCACGGCUAACUACGUG